rnacentral:rRNA from 1 species
AUUGAACGCUGGCGGCAGGCCUAACACAUGCAAGUCGAGCGAGCCGCGCACGGGUGUGUUAUGUCUGGGACACUGCCUGAUGGAGGGGGAUAACCACUGGAAACGGUAGCAAAUCCCGCAAUACAGCAGAUGUGCCCAGAGGGGAUUAGCUAGUAGGGGGGGUAAUGGCUCACCUAGGCGACGAUCCCUAGCUGGUCUGAGAGGAUGACCAGCCACACUGGAACUUAGACACGGUCCAGACUCCUACGGGAGGCAGCAGUGGGGAAUAUUGCACAAUGGGCGCAAGCCUGAUGCAGCCAUGCCGCGUGUAUGAAGAAGGCCUUCGGGUUGUAAAGUACUUUCAGCGGGGAGGCGUUACCCGCAGAAGAAGCACCGGCUAACUCCGUGCCAGCAGCCGCGGUAAUUC